rnacentral:rRNA from 1 species
GAUGAACGCUGGCGGCGUGCCUAAUACAUGCAAGUCGAGCGAACAGAUGAGGAGCUUGCUCCUCUGACGUUAGCGGCGGACGGGUGGGUAACACGUGGAUAACCUACCUAUAAGACUGGGAUAACUUCGGGAAACCGGAGCUAAUACCGGAUAAUAUAUUGAACCGCAUGGUUCAAUAGUGAAAGACGGUUUUGCUGUCACUUAUAGAUGGAUCCGCGCCGCAUUAGCUAGUUGGUAAGGUAACGGCUUACCAAGGCAACGAUGCGUAGCCGACCUGAGAGGGUGAUCGGCCACACUGGAACUGAGACACGGUCCAGACUCCUACGGGAGGCAGCAGUAGGGAAUCUUCCGCAAUGGGCGAAAGCCUGACGGAGCAACGCCGCGUGAGUGAUGAAGGUCUUCGGAUCGUAAAACUCUGUUAUUAGGGAAGAACAAAUGUGUAAGUAACUAUGCACGUCUUGACGGUACCUAAUCAGAAAGCAACGGCUAACUACGUG